rnacentral:rRNA from 1 species
GAUUGAACGCUGGCGGUAUGCUUAACACAUGCAAGUCGAACGGAAACGAUACUAGCUUGCUAGUAGGCGUCGAGUGGCGGACGGGUGAGUAACGCGUAGGAAUCUGCCUGAUAGUGGGGGAUAGCCCGAAGAAAUUCGGAUUAAUACCGCAUAAUCUAUUCGUAGUAAAGUGGGGGACUUUCGAGCCUCACGCUAUCAGAUGAGCCUGCGUAAGAUUAGCUUGUUGGUAGGGUAAAAGCCUACCAAGGCGACGAUCUUUAGCUGGUCUGAGAGGAUGAUCAGCCACAUCGGGACUGAGACACGGCCCGAACUCCUACGGGAGGCAGCAGUGGGGAAUAUUGGACAAUGGGGGCAACCCUGAUCCAGCAAUACCGCGUGUGUGAAGAAGGCCUGAGGGUUGUAAAGCACUUUCAAUUGUGAAGAAAAGUUAGCGGUUAAUAACCGUUAGCCUUGACGUUAACUUUAGAAGAAGCACCGGCUAACUCCGUGCCAGCAGCCGCGGUAAUACGGAGGGCGCAAGCGUUAAUCGGAAUUACUGGGCGUAAAGCGUGCGUAGGCGGUUUAUUAAGUCAGAUGUGAAAGCCCCGGGCUUAACCUGGGAACUGCAUUUGAAACUGGUCAACUAGAGUAUGGUAGAGGAAAGUGGAAUUUCUGGUGUAGCGGUGAAAUGCGUAGAUAUCAGAAGGAACAUCAAUGGCGAAGGCAGCUUUCUGGACCAAUACUGACGCUGAGGUACGAAAGCGUGGGUAGCAAACAGGAUUAGAUACCCUGGUAGUCCACGCCGUAAACGAUGAUAACUAGCCGUUGGGGGGAUUUACCCUUUAGUGGCGAAGCUAACGCGUUAAGUUAUCCGCCUGGGGAGUACGGCCGCAAGGUUAAAACUCAAAGGAAUUGACGGGGACCCGCACAAGCGGUGGAGCAUGUGGUUUAAUUCGAUGCAACGCGAAGAACCUUACCUGGUCUUGACAUCCUGCGAACUUUCUAGAAAUAGAUUGGUGCCUUCGGGAACGCAGUGACAGGUGCUGCAUGGCUGUCGUCAGCUCGUGUCGUGAGAUGUUGGGUUAAGUCCCGUAACGAGCGCAACCCCUAUCCUUAUUUGCCAGCACAUCAUGGUGGGAACUAUAAGGAGACUGCCGGUGAUAAACCGGAGGAAGGCGGGGACGACGUCAAGUCAUCAUGGCCCUUACGACCAGGGCUACACACGUGCUACAAUGGGAAGGACAAAGAGCCGCGAAGCCGCGAGGUGUAGCUAAUCUCAUAAACCUUUUCGUAGUCCGGAUUGGAGUCUGCAACUCGACUCCAUGAAGUCGGAAUCGCUAGUAAUCGUAGAUCAGAAUGCUACGGUGAAUACGUUCCCGGGUCUUGUACUCACCGCCCGUCA